UGUUGUCUCAAACACACACACACACACAGUCAUGUUUUCAUGACUUUUGAGGACAUUACAUUGACCUUAUAUUCAUUUCCUGGAGACUUACCCUAACUUUAACCUAAACCUA